AUCUAGUGAAUGGGAAGCCAAAUUCUACCAGAUCCAGAGCAAGUACCUUCUGCUGCUAAAUGAACUUCACUCACCCCAAACCAGCCAGCACGACCCGUCCAUUGUUUCCCAGCUGCUGCAAGACGUAGUGGAAGCACAUGGUUCCCCUGACCUUAGGGUGAUACACAACAAAGGGCGGGAGUAUGAUGAAUAUGGAUUCUGCAUCACAGCCCCGGGUGAAGGAAGCUUGCAGUCAAGAGCGAACUAUCUCCAAAAGCAAUCUCAGGCCUUAGCCAACCAAGUUCAGCAAAAUGGGAGCUCAUGGGAAGAGAGAUGGGAGAGUUUCUUGGCAGGUACAAGUGCAAAGGAGCUGCCAUCAUGUACAGAUCUCAAGUACCUUAUAAGGGGAGGUAUUCCCUAUCAGUAUAAGGUAAGUUUUUUUUUUUUU